rnacentral:rRNA from 1 species
AGACCCGAAACCCGGUGAUCUAGCCAUGGGCAGGUUGAAGGUUGGGUAACACUAACUGGAGGACCGAACCGACUAAUGUUGAAAAAUUAGCGGAUGACCUGUGGCUGGGGGUGAAAGGCCAAUCAAACCGGGAGAUAGCUGGUUCUCCCCGAAAGCUAUUUAGGUAGCGCCUCGUGAAUUCAUCUCCGGGGGUAGAGCACUGUUUCGGCUAGGGGGCCAUCCCGGCUUACCAACCCGAUGCAAACUGCGAAUACCGGAGAAUGUUAUCACGGGAGACACACGGCGGGUGCUAACGUCCGUCGUGAAGAGGGAAACAACCCAGACCGCCAGCUAAGGUCCCAAAGUCAUGGUUAAGUGGGAAACGAUGUGGGAAGGCCCAGACAGCCAGGAUGUUGGCUUAGAAGCAGCCAUCAUUUAAAGAAAGCGUAAUAGCUCACUGGUCGAGUCGGCCUGCGCGGAAGAUGUAACGGGGCUAAACCAUGCACCGAAGCUGCGGCAGCGACACUCAGGUGUUGUUGGGUAGGGGAGCGUUCUGUAAGCCUGUGAAGGUGGCCUGUGAGGGUUGCUGGAGGUAUCAGAAGUGCGAAUGCUGACAUAAGUAAC